UGGCGCCACCUGGUGGCCGCAUAGGGAAGGACUCAGCUUGGGAUCCGGAAGUGACAGGAGUGCCCUUAAGCCGCGGCUGUUCUCCUUGGCAUCUGUGCACCCAAGUUCUACCCAGAGUUCUCCCAUCGGUGGCAGACACCGCGAAGUGUGGAUGGAAGGAUUAAAAGAAAGAAGAACAAUGAAAGUGAAAAAGACAAGCAGUUUAUUUGGGCAGCUCAGAGUUUGGAGAGGAACUAGUUACCAUCCUGUAACAGAUGAAGGGAUUACAGAGAAUGCAGGGGGAGCAUGAGGGAAACCAGGAAUCAGGCGACACUACCCAGAGGAGGGGACAUGCGGCCUGAGGCACGGACUUAAGUCUUCAUCAAUCCUAGAAAAGAGAAUCCUAGCUGCAAGAACAGCUAGUGCGUGGUUCUCAACUCUGACUACACACUAGAAUCAAUUGGGGACCUUUUCAAAAAAGCCCAGAUGGCACCCACUGACCAGUGACUUGCGAAUCCCAGGGGGAGGGAGAGGGGGAGACACCUGAAUUCUUUGAAGCCCCCGGUGUCUGAAUACCAGGCAAAGUUGAGACCCACCAAACAAAGGCUCAGAAUGAUGAAUUUACAUUCCUGCCUGGGAUGCAGGAGUAAAAAGCCCCAGGUGGAUGGAAUAGGGGGUGCCUGAAGCAGAGAGGCAAGAAAUGAGGAGCAGGAAGGCGUGCUGGGCCAUUUCCUCAGAACCACAGAAGAAUACCCACUAGCAAAUGAAAUAAGCAAAAGAAUACCCACUAGCAAAAGAAAUACAUAUCAUUUGCAUAAUUCACAUUCCUGACAAACUCCAUGCUUGCAUUUGAACAGGACUUUUUUCUUUUUCUUUCUUUUUUUGUUUUUUGGGUUUUUUUUUUUUUUUGUCUUUUAUCUUUUUAGGUAUACACCAGCAGCAUAUGGGGGUUCCCAGGCUAGGGGUCUAAUCAGAGCUGAAGCCGUCGGCCUACACCACAGCCACAGCCACACUAGAUCCCUAGAUCAGAGCUGCAUCUGCCACCUACACCACAGUUCCUGGCAAUGCCAGAUCCUUAAGCCACUGAGCGGGGCCAGAGAUCGAACCCGCUUCCUCUCAUGGAUACUAGUUGGGUUCGUUAACCACUGAGCCACUACAGGAACUACUGAACAGGACUUUCUACUGCCUCGCCAAGGGAGUGGCUGAGAGACUCAAUACCACCUAUAAUUAGCUCCACAUUUCUGAGGAUGUGCCUGAUUGUUUCUGGAAUUCUCUUUGAGCCUGAAAACAGCAAGCACUCAAUGAAUGUUGGCUGAACUGUCUGAUCAGGUACUCUCACUUGAGUGGCCAGUCUUGAUGACCUCUGGGUUCGAGGGGCUUUGCUGCAAGGAAAUUGGACUGCUGUGACCUCAAGGACUCCAGAAGCUCCAUAGAACCCACAGUCCCAGGGGCUGCUGACUGCAAUUCCACAUCCUUCAGCGAUUCUUUGUCAUGUUCCAUUUCCUGUAUCAAUACUAUUUCCUGAGGUAGGUCUUAAAGAACUGAAAGGGUUCAGAAAUGAAUAGUUAUGAGGAAGAGAAGGAAAGAUACAGAAAGGAAGGCCUGUGACCCCUCUGAGAGCUGGCCCUUGGCACUGGCCAGAAUCUAAGACAAAACAGAGAGGCCUUCAAAAAUAGGCGCUUCCUUUCUUUUCAAACUGGAACCUCCUGGCACUUUUCACCAGUUCUUACAAUUUUUGUUCGAAGCCUGGGAGCAGAGUUCAGCCUUUCCUUAGGAGCUGCCUUAUCUAGCCAAUCACAGGACACACGUUGAUUUUUUUCCAAGAUUCACUCAAAGAAGCAGUCAAGACAAUUCGAUUCUUUUAAAGAGACACUUCUCACAACUGACCAGGAAAACAGAGACCCUUGUACUGCCCUGUACCUGAGCCAACCAGUUCAUACACUGGUUUAACACUCCUCUCGCAGGCUGGAAGUGACUCUGAGACAAGGAUUUGAGUGCAAGUGGGUUGGCCGGGGGUGGGCCCAAGACAGAUGGAGACACGAGACAGGGAAAUGAAGGAGGCCGGUCCAGGGCACACUCAUCACAGGUGAGGCUCGAUUCCACUGGGGAACUUGGGGAGACAGUGUUGAAUGUGGUCCAGGGUUAUCCCGUGGGAGCCACAAGAAGCUGGGGCCAUAUGUCCACCCACUCCCAUGGGUCACUGGUUCAGCGACAACUGCUCAGCACUACCAGCCUGCCCUGCACGUGCCCACACUUUAGUGGCCAGAGACAGUCCUCAGGCAAAGGGAGCUGGGGUACCAGGCCAUAUGGGUGGACCGCCUCUAGCAUUUGCCACCAGAUCCCCCUCUGUUCACAUGCUAUUCAUAAAGGAUAGGUUCCCAGGCUCCACCUCCUAAAUGUGGCCCUUCAGCUUGGAGACCUGCUGCAGAUAAGGGAAUAGGCCGACGCAAGAUGUAUGCCGUCUCCCAGAAGGUGGAUGCUCAGACAAUGGCCUGUGGCAAACAUCUGCCUGCACAGGUUAACCAUCUACAGAGAUGCCCUCUGCUGUGGGACUCGACGCCCUACCCCUCCCUUAAAUCGUGUAACCCUCCCCUCCUUCUUUAUUGUUCCCACCACAAGUUCCCGCCACGGAUCCUUUAUAAGCCUAAUAUCUCCUUGACGUUGGGGCUGGCACCAUCGUGAGCAUCUGUUUCAGUGGCCUUAGUAAAUCUCUCUUGCUCUACCGUCUUGGCCCUGCGCAUUGCUCACUCGGCAAACGUAACAGUGAACCCUCCAAAAGGGUACCCACCAGCCGAGCGCCAACCCUUCCCAGUACCCAUCCAGCCACAUAAGCAUGGACACUGGUAUCAGCCACCUCAUUCCGGAGGUGCCAUCCAGCACGGGCCGCUUGGUGAGAACACGGGUCUACCGAAUUGGCGAUCAGGAAAUAUCCCAGGCCCCAGUGAACACAGGUGGCAGUCCCACUCAGUGCCAUCCAUGCAUUUGACAAGGGCUGGGAUGAGGCUGAUCCCAUUAAUGCAGUCAUUCAAGAAAAGGUGGCUCAGAUGAGCCAUGUCAUUGAGGGAAAAGGAGAAGCAGCUCAGGAGGAUCUGGAUUUAGCUGAGAGUACAAAUU
rnacentral:lncRNA from 1 species